rnacentral:rRNA from 1 species
GACGAACGCUGGCGGCGUGCUUAACACAUGCAAGUCGAACGGAAAGGCCCUGCUUUUGCGGGGUGCUCGAGUGGCGAACGGGUGAGUAACAUGUGAGUAACCUGCCCUUGACUUUGGGAUAACUUCAGGAAACUGGGGCUAAUACCGGAUAGGUGCUCCCGCUGCAUGGUGGGGGCUGGAAAGUAUCGGCGGUUGGGGAUGGACUCGCGGCUUAUCAGCUUGUUGGUGGGGUAGUGGCUUACUAAGGCUUCGACGGGGAGCCGGCCUGAGAGGGUGACCGGCCACAUUGGGACUGGGAUACGGCCCAGACUCCGACGGGAGGGAGCAGUGGGGAAUAUUGCACAAGGGGCGGAGGCCUGAUGCAGCAACGCCGCGGGCGGGAUGACGGCCUUCGGGUUGGAAACCGCUUUCGCCUGUGACGAAGCGUGAGUGACGGUAAUGGGUAAAGAAGCACCGGCUAAAUACGGGC